GUCAGGAUAGCAGUACCAAAGCUGCAGCCCUUUGCCUGAAAUCAGAAGGGCCAUCCCAGCUGUCAGCUCCUGGAGGAAUGCUAAGGCCUCUACUGCAGCUGCCUCACAGCUCAGCUUCCCUUCUCAUCUGCUGCCCGACUCCUCCACAGGGCAUGUCCUCCGAGCACAGCCUCCAGUCACCUGCACGUGGAUAUCAGAGCCUCCGAGCCUGGUGCCUGGGAACCUGGCCUACACUUCCAGCUGAAGCCCAACUUCCCAUGAAAAUGUGUUUUAGGUGUUACAGGUCCUGGUAUCUCCACAUCUAACUGAGAGUGGUCCAGGAAGUGGUGCUGUCCAUCUCAGAAGUACAAUGACAAGACAAGAAAAAGGUGUGUUCCAGAAGACAAAGACAGAAAAGAAGGGAGAGACCAGCUUGGAAGGACCAGGAGAAGAUAAAGGCCUGAUGGCCUGCUAUCUUGCUUUUUAUGAGGGAAGGGCUUCUUCACCUCCAGACACCCUUGAGCUCCAGCGCGACUCCGGCUUUCCCUUUGCAGCUCAGAAUCUGAACAAUGGUGAACAAAUCCCUUACACUCUCUAGCCUCUUUCUAAAGCAGGUGUCGUGGUAUGACUCACUUCCCCAGAUACAGCACUUGGUCUAGACAUCUCUGGAGCUUUUAAAGAGAAACUGAAAUGCUUGUGAAAAAGAAGCUAUGUGAGGGGAAAGAAAAAGAGAGCGAGACUGUGUGCAAGCACCCUCAUUUGUAUCUGCGCAACUGAAGACAAGAUGGAGGAACCGGGGAUGGGGGAGUGGGACAAUGCAUAAUUCACAUAAAA